UACGGAGGGUGCAAACGUUGCUCGGAAUCAUUGGGCGUAAAGCGCACGUAGGCGGCCUGUUAAGUCGGGUGUGAAAGCCCUGGGCUCAACCCAGGAAGUGCACUCGAAACUGGCGGGCUUGAAUAUGGAAGAGGGUCGCGGAAUUCCCAGUGUAGAGGUAGAAAUUCGUAGGAUAUUGGGAAGAAGCACCGGUGGCGAAGGCGGCUCACUGGCUCGUAACUGACGCUCAUGGCAACGAUCAGCCGUGGGGAUCAAACAGG
rnacentral:rRNA from 1 species